rnacentral:rRNA from 1 species
UGGGGAAUUUUGGACAAUGGGCGCAAGCCUGAUCCAGCCAUGCCGCGUGCGGGAAGAAGGCCUUCGGGUUGUAAACCGCUUUUGUCAGGGAAGAAACGGCGAAGGCUAAUACCUUUCGCUAAUGACGGUACCUGAAGAAUAAGCACCGGCUAACUACGUGCCAGCAGCCGCGGUAAUACGUAGGGUGCAAGCGUUAAUCGGAAUUACUGGGCGUAAAGCGUGCGCAGGCGGUUAUGCAAGACAGAUGUGAAAUCCCCGGGCUCAACCUGGGAACUGCAUUUGUGACUGCAUGACUGGAGUACGGCAGAGGGGGAUGGAAUUCCGCGUGUAGCAGUGAAAUGCGUAGAUAUGCGGAGGAACACCGAUGGCGAAGGCAAUCCCCUGGGCCUGUACUGACGCUCAUGCACGAAAGCGUGGGGAGCAAAC